UGCUGCCACCCCUGCGUGUCCCGGUGUCCCUGCUUGGGUCCCGGUGUCCCCGGGUCCUGAGGGGUGUCCCUGGGAGGGUCCCCGGGGCAGGUCCCGGUGUCCCAGUAUGUCUCCUAGUGUCCCCAGUGUGUGUCCUGGUGUCCCAGUAUGGGUCCCCGUGUCCCAGUCUGUGUGCCGAUACCCCAGUAUGUGUUCCCCCGGCGUGUCUCGUGGUAUCCCAGUAUGUGUCCCAGUAUCCCAGUAUGUGUCCAGAGUCCCCUGUGUGUGUACUGGUGUCCCCUGAUCCUGAUGGAUGUCCCGGGGAGGGUCCCAGUGUGGGUCCUGGGGUCCCCAGUAUGUGUCCUGGUGUGUGUCCCCCGGGGUGCGUCCCUGGUGUCCCCAGUGCAUGUCCCAGUGUCCCAGUAUGUGUCCUGGUGUCCCCAGUAUGUGUCCCGAUGCCCCAGCAUGUGUCCUGGUGUCCUCAGUAGAUGUCCCGGUGCUCCAGCAUGUGCUCUGGUGUCCCCAGUGUGUGUCCCCCUGCUGUGUCUCCUGGUAUCCCAGUAUGCAUCCCAAUAUACCAAUACGUGCCCUGGUGUCCCACUGCGUGUCCUGGUGAACCAAUAUGGCUCCUGGUGUCCCAGUAUGUGUCCCAGUGUCCUCAGGUCAUGGUGUGUCCCCCCGGGGUAUGUCGUUGGCAUCCCAGUAUGUGUCCUGGUGUCCCAGUAUUUGUCCCUGGUGUCCCCAGUACAUGUCCUGGGGUUUCAAUAUGUGUCCCAGUAUCCCAGUAUGUGUCCCAGUGUCCCCAGUGUGUGUACUGGUGCCCCAGUAUGUGUCCCAGUGUCCAUAGAUGUGUCCUGGUGCCACUGGGUCCUGAGGAGUGUCCUGGAGUGGGUCCCCAAGGUGGGUCCUGGUGUCUCAGUAUGUGCCCUGGUGUCCCCAGUAUGUGUCCCAGUGUUCCCAUGUGUCCCCCCGGUGUGUCUGCUGGUAUCCAAGUAUGUGUCCAAGUAUCCCAUCAUGUGUUCUGGUGUCCACAGUGUGUGUCCUGGUGUCCUGAUGUGUGCCCCUGGUGUGUGUCCCAGUGUCUCAGUUGGUGUCCCAGUGUGUGUCCCCAGUGUGUGUCCCAGUGUCCCGGUGUGUGUGCCUGGUGUGUCCCCUGUUUUCCCAGUACGUGCCCCAGUGCACAUCCCGUGUGUCCCAGUGUAUGUCCUGGUAUCCCAGGUUGUGUCCUGGUGUGUGUCCUGGUGUCCCCAGUGUGUGUCCUAGGUACAUGCCCCACUGUGUGGCCCUGUGCCCUGAAGUGUGAUCCCAGUGUCCCUAGUGUCCCAGUCCACCCCACCGCUCUCUGGAGGAGCCCCUCUUGGGAUGCUCCUGGUGGGCCUUGUCCCUAAUUCUUCCCAGGCCAAGCUCCCAGGCUUCUUCUACCAGCCUUGAGCUUUACAGGGAAAACAAACAGAGCCGGGGAUCAUGCCUUGCCCUUCGGUGCCUGAUUCACCCCAGCUGCUCCCAGGACUGGACUCUACGUUGCCUCUUGAGCAGGAGGAAGAGAGCAACCAUGCACUGACCCACCUGCUUCCCCUACAUAAGGAUGAGGUCCCUGGGGCUGCUUAGGUUGGAGAAGAGGAGGCUGAGGGAAGACAUCAUCAUGCUCUACAGCUCCUGGAGAGGAGGUAGUAGUGAGGCAUAGGCAUUAGAUGCAUUCCCUUUCUUGGACAAGGGGAACUAUGCUCCUGACAGAGGAGAAGGAAGGUCUACAGGAGACCAGCCUGGUGAACAAGUCUUGUGAGGAGCAGUUGAGGGACCAGAGGCUGUUUAGCCUGGAGAAGAGGAGUCUGAGGGGAAACCUCAUCACUCUCUGCAGCUCCAGCUUGUGGUGAGGAAGGAUUUAGCCAUGCAGUUCCCAGUACCAUCUGACCUCAAUAAAUGUCUAUGCCAUUGGUGGGUGCUGCUGGUGGAUGGGGUCACAGCCUGUACCUGGGCUCCUUGAAGGCUGGCUGCAACUAAACAGCUUCGUCAGGGCUUGUGACAGCAUUGCUGGACACGUGUGGUGGGUGAGAUGGUUGUUCCCUUGUCCUUACACCCUCAGCCUCCUCUUCUCCAGGCUAAACAGACCGAGCUCCCUCAGUUGCUUCCAGAAUCUUUGUUCUCCAGCCCCUUCCCCAGCUCUGUUCCCAUUUCUAGAUGCACUCCAGCCCCUCAAUGUCCUUGGAGUGCAGUGCCCAAAACUGAACCCAGGAUUCAAGAUGUAGCCUCACCAGGGGGCCCAUCCCUUUCUUGCUCCUGCUGGCCUCACCAUUUCUGAUCCAAGCCAGGAUGAUCUUGGCCUUCUUGGCUGCCUGGGCCACUGCUGGCUCAUAUUCAGCUGCUGUCGCCCAGCACCCCUUGGUCUUUUUUGCCUGGUCACCUUUCCAGCCAUGCGUUCCCCUGUGGGAUGGGUUGGCCUGUGACCACACACCAUUAGGUACCAUUUAAUGCAGAACCUUGGUGUUGAAGUGGGGGAUGGCUCUGCUGUUUUGUAACCUGUGCUCGCUGCCACACACGAGAGUGUCCCUGGCCAGCCCUGUGGCUGCUGUGAACAGCCCUUGCACCUGUGCUGACUGGAUUUACUUAAUGCAGCUCACCACAGUGCUCUCCACGCUGUGCGUGUCAGUCGGGGUCAAGCCUAAGCACAGGUUACUGCACAAAGAUCCUGGUGGUUUUGCACCUGGUGGUGUCCUCAGGGCAGCUCGGCUCCUGCUCAGGGAUUGGCCCCAGGGCUCACAGAACCCUUCCCUCUCCUAACGCAAAGCAAUUCUCAUGCCCUCUUCAAGGGGUGUUGAUCCAUGGCCUCAGCACUCCAUAGUGUUAUCUGUUUGGGGCACUUUGCUAUAUGUCCUGUGAACAUUGUCUUACAUCCCGUAAACGCCUGGGUGGGGGCAAGUCCAAGCACAAAAAGAGACUGGGUGGAGAAUGGAUUGGGAGCAGCUCUGAGGAGAGGGAGCUGAGGGAGGAGAAGCUCAAUGCGAGCUGGCAACGUGUACUCACAGCCCAGAAACUGCCCAUGUCCUGGGCUGCACCCAGAGGAGGGUGACCAGCAGGGAGGGGAUUCUGCCCCUCUGCUCCACCCUGUGAGACCCGUCUGGAGCCCUGCAUCCAGCUCUGGAGUCCUCAGCACAGGGAGGACAUGGAGCUGUUGGAGCGAGUGCAGAGGAGGCCACGGAGAUGAUCUGAGGGCUGGAGCACCUCCUG